CCCCUCUUCACUGUUCGACACAACCUCCUUCCCAACCACAAGCACCUUCGCCGUAGACCGGAUCGCUUCAUCUUGCAGUCGCCGGAGACUCGGGGAUGACGACCGAAACACACACCUUGUUAACAUCGAGUCGCCGCCGAAGCUUUGCACCUUGCCGGAGUACGAAGUGAUCACCGGAAUCUCACCGGAGAAGAAAGACGCUGCCGAAGUUAACGUCGACAGAACUCGUCUCGUAAACAUCAUCGUUUCGAUAUGAGUUGAUUAGUACAAGACUCAAGAA
rnacentral:lncRNA from 1 species